UGUGAACAAGGUGCCUGCUUUUGCUUCGCCUUCUGCUUUGAUUACACUUGAUUAGCCUUAGGCAGUCCUGUGCAUCACAGCCUUCUGCAAUACCUGCCAGAUCAUCUACAGAAGCUAGGGUGAAAACCCAGGGUAUUAUAUCCUUAGAAUUUAUUUCUACCAGAAAGUUGCCACUUUAUAUAUUCUGCCAACAAGCUUGCUUGCAAGAGGAGAAGCCACUAUUAUUCCCGAGUCAGUGGCAUGAACACGUGGACUGCAGAGAUAACUGAGAUCUACAUUCCACCCUUCUCCUUCCCAUUCCAUAUCUUGGGAAGCUGAUGUCUAUAGACUGCAUUAAUGAACUUCCAUACCAUCUGACUUCCAGUUAAGUUUGGCCAAAAGGAGUCAUUGGAAUGAGAUCAGAGGGUAGGAAGAAAGAGAAGUUGGAUAAUUUUUCCUCUCACUCAUCCUUGUCAGGUCUAAAGGGGUUCUUGUUCUCUCUCUCCCAUUGCACUAAAGGUAGUAGCAG
rnacentral:lncRNA from 10 species